rnacentral:rRNA from 1 species
UACGAAGGGGGCUAGCGUUGCUCGGAAUCACUGGGCGUAAAGGGUGCGUAGGCGGGUUUUUAAGUCAGGCGUGAAAGCCCCGGGCUCAACCUGGGAACCGCGCUUGAGACUGGCAUGCUCGAGUUCGGGAGAGGAUGGUGGAAUUCCCAGUGUAGAGGUGAAAUUCGUAGAUAUUGGGAAGAACACCGAUGGCGAAGGCAGCCAUCUGGACCGACACUGACGCUGAGGCGCGAAAGCGUGGGGAGCAAACAGG